rnacentral:rRNA from 1 species
GAUCCUGGCUCAGGAUGAACGCUGGCGGCGUGCCUAAUACAUGCAAGUCGAGCGGGGUAGCUUGCUACCCAGCGGCGAACGGGUGAGUAACACGUAGGUAACCUGCCUUCGAGUCCGGAAUACCCAGGCGAAAGCUUGGCUAAUGCCGGAUAACAGCGGACCCCGCCUGGGGCCCGCGUGAAAGCCGCCCCAAAGCGGCGCUCCUAGAUGGACCUGCGGCGCAUUAGCUAGUUGGCGGGNACGACCG